rnacentral:lncRNA from 1 species
CCCGUCUUCAGCCAGGAGGGAGUUCCCGACCCUCAGCUCCGUUCCGCAGGCCAGCACCUACUGCGCCUACCCAACCAAAUAAGAGGCCCAUACCAGCCAUCCAGGCCCCUCCUCAGGCUCCAGGGGCAGCACGUGGGAAGAUCUGUCAGCACUGCGGCAGAGAUCACGGGGACCGACCCUGCUACCGGCUUAACAACACUUCUCGCAUUUGUGGCAGUGCCCAGCAUUAUGCAAGAGAAUGCCUGAGGAACCAGAAUCAAAGGAGGCCUCCUAUCUAGGGCAGAGCUUACAACCUUACCCAGCAGGAUGCCGACGCCGACCCGAAUGUAGUACAGGAUAUGUAUGCAAUCUGUGACCAUAUUGCUCAUGUUUUAUUUGACACUGGUGCAUCGCACUCUUUUGUUUCACAUGCUUUUCCUUCCA